rnacentral:rRNA from 1 species
GACGAACGCUGGCGGCGUGCUUAACACAUGCAAGUCGAACGGAAAGGCCCUGCUUUUGUGGGGUGCUCGAGUGGCGAACGGGUGAGUAACACGUGAGUAACCUGCCCUUGACUUUGGGAUAACUUCAGGAAACUGGGGCUAAUACCGGAUAGGAGCUCCUGCUGCAUGGUGGGGGUUGGAAAGUUUCGGCGGUUGGGGAUGGACUCGCGGCUUAUCAGCUUGUUGGUGGGGUAGUGGCUUACCAAGGCUUUGACGGGUAGCCGGCCUGAGAGGGUGACCGGCCACAUUGGGACUGAGAUACGGCCCAGACUCCAACGGGAGGCAGCAGUGGGGAAUAUUGCACAAUGGGCGGAAGCCUGAUGCAGCAAAGCCGCGUGCGGGAUGACGGCCUUCGGGUUGUAAACCGAUUUCGCCUGUGACGAAGCGUGAGUGACGGUAAUGGGUAAAGAAGCACCGGCUAACUACGUG